UUUAGACUCCAGCGACGUGCACAAUGUUUAUGACCAGGGUCCAUAGUGAGUUCUCUGGGUAAGAAGCUCAUUAAGUGAACGCCACUGAUUACAGCACCACAUAACAGCCACAUAUUAUAAAGGCACCAAUUACAUAUGCGGUAAAGUUACAAAGAAAACUGAAGGAUCCGAGACACGAACGACUUACCCGUACGUGUGGAGAAAAAGAGAAAAACUCUCCGACUUACACCCUGAGCGCUGCAAGGGUGAAGGGACUGGAGGGUACAAGGGCCCUACUUCCACUGUGACAUAAUGCGAGCUCCGAUUGAAGGGCUGCCAACGCUGCGUGAACAAAGCACGCGCGUACAUACACAUGACAGGGGACAAUUAACUGCGCACGCCGGAUUAGCGGGAGUGUCUGCUGCGAGCGAGUCGCGGUCACCGUUAUGUGGGUCAAGACUCAAGAUAACAGAGUGAGACCUCUCCCUAGCGUCCGGCGCCGCGACGUGCUUAGAUAGUAGACACCCGUGCUCAGUACAGUGUGACAUACACAAGUCCUUCUAUAUUUGAUAGCUUUAUUUUUAUAUUAAAGUGGUAAGAUUGAUUGCUUGUUUGAAUUGAAUAAGCUCUGAAACUACUGAAUCGGUUUUAAAA
rnacentral:lncRNA from 1 species